UUUUUUGAGGAAUCUUGGGAUGUUGUAUGGU
rnacentral:piRNA from 1 species